UCCCUGGUGGUCCAGUGGUUAGGACUCUGCACUUUUAUGCCAAGGAUCCAGUUUCAAUCCCUGGUCUGGGAA
rnacentral:tRNA from 1 species